AGCCACACUUCCGAUACUCAGUGGCACACCGAGGGGUAGGGACCUGGGCUCUCCUGCUUGCACUGGGUCCCCAAGCCCAGAGAGGAGCACUCAGGAUGCAGAGCAGCUCACAGGGCUGUUGUAAAAAUCAAAUGAGACAAUGCCGUGAUAGAGCACAGAAAACUACAGCCCUGUGUGACGGCCGCAUCACUCACGCAUUCAGUGGUUGCCUCGUGGACGGAGGGCCCAUCGUGCGCCGGCCCCAUGGGCACAGUUCACGCUGAAUCCGAAGCCCCUAGCGUGGUGCCUAUGCUGACUUAACAGGCUUCCCAGAUGGCUCCUCUGAUCAAGACAACACUCCCUCCACAGCUCACUCAUCCAGGCUCACCCCUCACAGGCUUCCCAGAUGGCUCCUCUGAUCAAGACAACACUCCCUCCACAGCUCACUCAUCCAGGCUCACCACUGCCACCCCCGAUGUCUCUGGAAGUCCUCCCCUCACCCUGGCCUUCCUCCAGCCCUUCUCAUCCUCCACACUCUCUUUGGCCAGGAUCAGCACCUGGUCUUCCCCUCCUGGGAGCAUCUCCUUCCACAUCCCACUCUCACAAGCUCUUGGGGAACUCUUCUCUCUUCCUUCUUCACACUUCUCUGUUUGCAGUUAUACAUUCCUAAGCAUGAUUAUUUGAUUAAUGUCUCCCUUUCCCCACCAUGAAGGCAGAACUAUGUCCGAAUUUGUCAUUGUCACAGCACACGCUAAUCAUUCAGGAAUAUUUGGUGGAUUGAAUGACUAGAUAAUUACAACACGCAUUCAGGUGAAGGCAGUGAUGGUGGAUACACAACGGAGAAGAUCACAACCCCAGACUGAAGGAGGAGGCAUCUUAUUGAGAGAUAAAGGACUCACUGGACUUUUUCUGGCCAGGGCACUGGGGGCAGGAGGAGGCUGCUCUGCAUAGCGGGUGCGAACAAGGCUGUGGAACAGGUAAUCCACAGGACGUAGCAAAUGGGAGAUAAGACUGGAAAGAUGAGCUGUGACCACAUCACACAGAGCCUUGAGCUCCAGGCUAAGGGGUGUGGGCUUGAUGCUGUGGGCCACGGGGAAUCCUUGAACACUAAGUUUAGCACGGAGAGGCCCUCACUAGUAUUUCCAGCACGAGGGCGGUAUACAAGCAUGUCAUCACAGGAAGGGAUCUGAGCUCAUUCAAGCCCAGUCCUUUCAUUUAGGAGGUGAGAAAGUUGAGGCCCAGAGAGAGAAAAUAAUUUCCUCAAGGGCACACAGGUGACUCCCAAUGCAGUGCUUUUUCAAAAAGAAAAGAAGGAUCAUCUCAUUACAUCAGUCUAAUUUCAGCCCCUUAUUAAUUUUUUACAUUGCUUCCACCGAUCAACCUCCUUUUCUUUGCCAAUUAUUAGACAAUAUAUUUGUUCAUAAAAGUAUUCCUCCUGGCUAGGGACUUCUCUGGUGGCGCAGUGGUUAAGAAUAUGCCUGCCAAUGCAGGGGAUGUGGGUUCGAUCCCUGGUCCGGGAAGAUCCCACAUGCCAUGGAGCAACUAAGCCUGUGAGCCACAACUACCGAGCCUGCGCUCUAGAACCCGUGAGCCACAACUACUGAAGCCUAUGCGCCUAGAGCCUGUGCUUUGCAACAAGAGAAACCACCGCAAUGAGAAGCUCGCGCACUGCAAUGAAGAGUAGCCCCCACUCACCGCAACUAGAGAAAGCCUGAGCACAGCAUCAAAGACCCAACACAGCCAAAAAUAAAUAAAUAAAUAAAUUUAUUUUUUAAAAAAUGUAUUCCUC